rnacentral:rRNA from 1 species
UACGGGGGGUGCAAACGUUGCUCGGAAUCAUUGGGCGUAAAGCGCACGUAGGCGGUCCAGAAGGUCGGGUGUGAAAGCCCUCGGCUCAACCGAGGAAGUGCAUUCGAAACCACUGAACUUGGGUAUGGAAGAGGGUCGCGGAAUUCCCGGUGUAGAGGUGAAAUUCGUAGAUAUUCGGAAGAACACCAGUGGCGAAGGCGACUGACUGGACAAGUAUUGACGCUGAGGUGCGAAAGCGUGGGGAGCAAACAGG